GAAACCUGCCCUAGAAACUUCUAGCCGAUAGGAAAACAGCUAUAUCCCAAAACGUCUUAUCUCUUCAAUGCACCUGCACAGCUCUUUAACAGUAGAACUCUUCAAAUCCCCCAAAAUCUUUUAGCCUUCUGCUACACGUUUCCAAAAGACCAUUUCAAUUCCUCAAUCUGGAGCCUGUGGCCUUCUCCUUUCCAGAACUCUUCAAACAUGCUCAGGAAUUCCUCCAUCCAGGUAAUGACCUUUAUUUUCUUUCAACGCUUCCUUUGCAAUCACAUUAGCAAAGGUGUUUUCUGACUUUGGAAUAUGGUAAAAGCUUAGUUUUUGGAAGAAAUGCUUCAUAUCUUGAAUGUCUCUUAUUAUAGCCCCAAUAAUCGAGUUAUCCCUAUUUGUACUCUGGCAUUUUUUAUAACAGUUCUUAAAUCUCCAUUAAUGUCGCAUUCAUAAAGACCCAAUAAAAUCACUAACCUUACUGCUUGUGCUCCUGCAUGUACUUCCGUCGCGAACGGUGAGGCGACAUUUUCAUGGAUAACCGACUUUGAAACCAAAAUAUCCCCUAACGUGUCACGAACAAGCAGUCCCGAGGCAGACCUGGAGAGAUGUUGGUCACUACCCUCGUCCUUCGAUCUUCAUGGGAAUUGAUUCCUGUUUGACCAGAAAAGCCAAAGCCCACAAGAAAAUAAUCGGCACUGUUCUUUUGUUCCUCGCUUAAAGACCCAGGUGAACCACACCAAAAUACUCUGAAUACUAUUGUUAAGCACCCAAGAGAAGUUUAAAUACCUCCAAACUUCUGUCGAUAUAGGACAUAUUCUGAAAACAUGGUUGCUAUCUUCCUCUAACUGCCGACAUCUGGGGCACCAGGCUUCAUUUGCAACUCGCUUCAAUUUCAAAUUAGCUAGCGUAGGGAUAUAAUUCCAGGAAAUUUUCCAGAUUGUAACUUUAAUUUUCGAAGGAAUGUGUAAAUCCCAUAGUUUUCUGUAAAAAGCUGUGUUUUUGGUCUGUAAAGUAUUAUUACUAGGAAUUCGAGUAGUCCUUUGUAAUAGUUUGUAGGCACUUCUAACCGAAAAGGUACCUGAUGGUUCUCCACCCUAAGCUUGGAAAUUAUCAUGUAAAGACAUUGCCAAAGGGAUCGACAGGAUGUUCUUUGCAAUAUCCUCAUCAAAGAUGGAGAUACAAUUCCCCUUGCCUAUCCUCCAGCACAAGCCUUUUUCUAGAACUUCUCUGGCUGGCCAGAUACUUUUCCAGGUAAGCGAAGGUAGGUUCCCUAAUCACGCCUUUAAAAAAUCUGUCGACGGAUAAUACUUGUCUUUCAAAACUUGAGCUAACAACGAAUUCGGAUAAGUAAUUAAACGCCAUCCCUGUUUCGCUAGUAGCGCGAUAUUAAAAUUAUCAAGUUUUCGGAA